CAGCAGCCGCGGUAAUACGUAGGGUGCGAGCGUUAAUCGGAAUUACUGGGCGUAAAGCGUGCGCAGGCGGUUCGUUAAGACAGAUGUGAAAUCCCCGGGCUUAACCUGGGAACUACAUUUGUGACUGGCGAGCUAGAGUAUGGCAGAGGGGGGUAGAAUUCCACGUGUAGCAGUGAAAUGCGUAGAUAUGCGGAGGAACACCGAUGGCGAAGGCAGCCCCCUGGGCCAACACUGACGCUCAUGCACGAAAGCGUGGGGAGCAAACAGGAUUAGAGACCCCUGUAGUCCCUGUCUCUUAUAC
rnacentral:rRNA from 1 species